rnacentral:rRNA from 1 species
CACCGGCAGCUCUAGUGGUAGCAGUUUUUAUUGGGCCUAAAGCGUCCGUAGCCGGUUUAGUAAGUCUCUGGUGAAAUCCUGUAGCUUAACUGUGGGAAUUGCUGGAGAUACUAUUAGACUUGAGACCGGGAGAGGUUAGAGGUACUCCCAGGGUAGAGGUGAAAUUCUGUAAUCCUGGGAGGACCGCCUGUUGCGAAGGCGUCUAACUGGAACGGUUCUGACGGUGAGGGACGAAAGUUAGGGGCGCGAACCGGAUUAGAUACCCGGGUAGUCCUAACUGUAAACGAUGCGGACUUGGUGUUGGGGUGGCUUUGAGCUGUUCCAGUGCCGAAGGGAAGCUGUUAAGUCCGCCGCCUGGGAAGUACGGUCGCAAGACUGAAACUUAA